rnacentral:rRNA from 1 species
AGUUAUCUGAACCUUCGGGGAACGAUAACGGCGUCGAGCGGCGGACGGGUGAGUAAUGCCUAGGAAAUUGCCCUGAUGUGGGGGAUAACCAUUGGAAACGAUGGCUAAUACCGCAUGAUGCCUACGGGCCAAAGAGGGGGACCUUCGGGCCUCUCGCGUCAGGAUAUGCCUAGGUGGGAUUAGCUAGUUGGUGAGGUAAGGGCUCACCAAGGCGACGAUCCCUAGCUGGUCUGAGAGGAUGAUCAGCCACACUGGAACUGAGACACGGUCCAGACUCCUACGGGAGGCAGCAGUGGGGAAUAUUGCACAAUGGGCGCAAGCCUGAUGCAGCCAUGCCGCGUGUAUGAAGAAGGCCUUCGGGUUGUAAAGUACUUUCAGUCGUGAGGAAGGCGGCGUCGUUAAUAGCGGCGUUGUUUGACGUUAGCGACAGAAGAAGCACCGGCUAACUCCGUGCCAGCAGCCGCGGUAAUACGGAGGGUGCGAGCGUUAAUCGGAAUUACUGGGCGUAAAGCGCAUGCAGGUGGUUUGUUAAGUCAGAUG